ACGGGAGGCAGCAGUGGGGAAUAUUGGACAAUGGGGGAAACCCUGAUCCAGCGACGCCGCGUGAGUGAAGAAGUAUUUCGGUAUGUAAAGCUCUAUCAGCAAGGAAGAAAAUGACGGUACUUGACUAAGAAGCUCCGGCUAAAUACGUGCCAGCAGCCGCGGUAAUACGUAUGGAGCAAGCGUUAUCCGGAUUUACUGGGUGUAAAGGGAGUGUAGGUGGUUUGGCAAGCCAGAUGUGAAAGCCCGGGGCUCAACCCCGUGGACUGCAUUUGGAACUGUUAAACUUGAGUGCAGGAGAGGAAAGUGGAAUUCCUAGUGUAGCGGUGAAAUGCGUAGAUAUUAGGAGGAACACCAGUGGCGAAGGCGGCUUUCUGGACUGUAACUGACACUGAGGCUCGAAAGCGUGGGGAGCAAACAGGAUUAGAUACCCUGGGA
rnacentral:rRNA from 1 species